GGAGGGUGCAAGCGUUAUCCGGAUUCACUGGGUUUAAAGGGUGCGUWRGWGGGUUGGUAAGUCAGUGGUGAAAUCUCCGAGCUUAACUUGGAAACUGCCAUUGAUACUAUCAGUCUUGAAUAUUGUGGAGGUCAGCGGAAUAUGUCAUGUAGCGGUGAAAUGCUUAGAUAUGACAUAGAACACCAAUUGCGAAGGCAGCUGGCUACACAUAUAUUGACACUGAGGCACGAAAGCGUGGGGAUCAAACAGGAUUAGAUACCCUGGUAGUCCACGCCCUAAACUAUGGAUACUCGACAUACGCGAUACACAGUGUGUGUCUGAGCGAAAGCAUUAAGUAUCCCACCUGGGAAGUACGAUCGCAAGAUUG
rnacentral:rRNA from 1 species